rnacentral:tRNA from 1 species
GGCCUGUAGCGCAGCCUGGAUAGCGCAACUGCCUCCUAAGCAGUAGGUCGUGGGUUCGAACCAGCGAGACGCCA